GAUGAAGAACGUAGCGAAACGCGAUAUGUAAUGUGAAUUGCAGAAUUCAGUGAAUCAUCGAAUCUUUGAACGCACCUUGCGCCCCUUGGUAUUCCGAGGAGCAUGCCUGUUUGAGUGUCGUGAAUACUCUCAACUUCAACCCUUUUUUCGGAAAGGGAGGAAGGUUGGACUUGGGUGUUUGUUGAAGUGCGAGCUUCGACUCAUCCUAAAUGCAUUAGCGAUCUGCCUCGAUCACACACAAUGUGAUAAUUAAAACUAAAGCAUUGUUUAAUGAUCAAGUCGAGACUGCUUCUAACUGUCGCAAGACAAUAACGUGCAUACAUUUGUGCAUGUCAUUUGACCUCAAAUCAGGUAGGACUACCCGCUGAACUUAAGCAUAUCAAUAAGCGGAGGA
rnacentral:misc_RNA from 1 species